CCGGCGGGAGCAUGGGGCCCAGGAGGACGGCUGACCAGGGCGGACAGCGGGCAGAAGUGCUGGGCACAGCCCGGGACGACGCGGACUCCACAGAGGAUGCCAGACUCGAUCGGCCUCGGUGCCACAGAACCGGCCCGUCCGAGAUGGCCACAGAGACAGAAGGGGACCGAGCAGGCAGAGCGCCUCCCAGAGGCAGGACGCCAGGCCGGGGCGUCCCCUCUGGAGUUCCUGCCUUUUCCCGCUUCCGGGGGCAGCGCAUCCCUGGCCGGCGACCCGUCCUCCACCCUCACAGCCAGAGGCACGGGGUCCGCCCACGGCCCUGCCUCCGGCCCUCCGGCCGCCCUCGUACAACGACCCUGGUGUUGGCACCGGGACCCCAGAUAAUCCAGUAACAUCUCCCAUCUCGGGGGCCUUCAGGUAACCCCGUCUGCCAAGCAAGUCCCUCUUACCACGCGGGGGAGCACACGCACUGCCAGGCUCCCGCGAGCGGGCCGCGUGCGCCUUCGGGAGGCACAACUCAGGCCACUCAGGUGCCGUGUGAAAAGUCCAUCGCGCAAAGAAAGAAACAGUCCCCGCGUCCCUCCAGCCUGGGCGCUUUCUGCUGUGGGGCACAUCUCGGGAAGACCAGCACAUCCGCCUACGUUCACCCAGACAGGAGCAGUUUCUAGAACGUCGGAAACGGGACCGGGCUACCAACGGUGGUCCGCAGGCCCUGUUGUCCCUGAACCUAAGCAGACGUGGACAGCGGCCCGGGGCCACGGAGCAGAAAAAGCCGCCCUUACGCUGCAGGGUUAAGAUCCCCAGGGACAGCCAGCGGCAGGGGCCGUGCAGGCGACCCCCACCCCGACAACCUCGGCCUGCAAGUUCACGGUGGCGCUAGCGGGCCCGGGUAUGGUGGCGGCUGUCCCAAGAGGAGCUCUCGCGCACGGCUGGGGCGGGGGGGGGGGGGGGGGGGGACGGGAAGUGGCACGGCCACUGUGGAAUGCAUCGUGGCAGUAACUGAAAAGGUGACGCAAGGGCUGGGACCACGUGACCCAGCAACCCCACGCCCGGUGUCCACCCAAGAAAAACAAAACACACGUCGGCACAGAAACCUGUAGUGAACGUUCACAGCAGCAUCGUUCGUAACACCCCCAAAGGGGAAAGAACCAAAAUACCCAUCAACCGAUGAACAGCUACACACGGUGUGUCCCCCACGCGUGGGAACGGGAUCAGCCAGGAGCCAGAGCGAGGCGCCCCCCGCCGCCCCAAGGACGGACCCCGGACACGCGACGCUCAGGGAGGGAACCAGACACGAGAGGCCACGCGGGGUGUGAGUCUGCGUGGAGAACCUUUUCAGUCGUGGCGCUCAGUUUCUUCAGCUACAAAAUGGGCUGAUCGAGGGAGAGGGCAGGUCAGGAUGACCGCAGCGAGGGACCACUAAAGGUUAAUCUAACCGCACGGAACGAGGUACGCACACAGAACAUGCCACACUGAUCUGGGUACAAAGAGAUGGCCACGUUUUGGAGAUCUGGCCGUCUUCCGACAAAGCACAAGCUUUAAGAGUAAAAGCAAUGCCUUCGGAGACACAGAGCAGAUCGUUUCCAAACUCGUCCACAAAGGCCUGGCCCAUCCGGCCCCGGCAAGCGGCAAACUAACCCAGACCAAAGCCGACACACCUUUUCUGUACAGGAUCACACGGGCGUGGUUUGGGGUGAAUGUGCCCCUGGACGAGCCAGGUCCUGAUCCACACGACGCAGAUGGGGCAGCUCAAGCGGGGCGAUGCCCGCGUCCCCCGAAAUGCGCCAUGGCGAGGCACAGCACUGUCACUCGGACGCCGAAGGACGGGAGCCCAAACGUGAGCGCCGGACUAGAGGAGGAGCGGCCAGCAGAACCACCCCGAGGGUUCUGGGCUCCUCUGUGCAAAGGCUCCCGGGCCCCGGACACCCCUGAACUCAGGGCCAAACAGCAGCCGCCUUCUCCCAGCAGCGUGCGUGCAGGCCCGACGGGCUGCCCCGGGGGGAGCCGCGGCCUUCAGUGCCUCGCUCUCCUGUGGCCACCUGGGCCUAGGGCCCGAGCACUUACUUCAAAGUCCCGGUCGUACUGGAGAGCCAAGGCCGCGGAGGACAGGUGCCCCGUAGCUGGCAGGGGUUUCUAUCAGGUCCCGGCAAGGGUGACGGUUCCUACGGUGCAUAAAAUAAAAGCACGAUGAAC